UGGGGAAUUUUGGACAAUGGGGGCAACCCUGAUCCAGCAAUGCCGCGUGUGUGAAGAAGGCCUUCGGGUUGUAAAGCACUUUUGUCCGGAAAGAAAACUUCGGGGCUAAUACCCCUGGAGGAUGACUGUACCGGAAGAAUAAGCACCGGCUAACUACGUGCCAGCAGCCGCGGUAAUACGUAGGGUGCGAGCGUUAAUCGGAAUUACUGGGCGUAAAGCGUGCGCAGGCGGUGCUGUAAGACCGAUGUGAAAUCCCCGGGCUUAACCUGGGAACUGCAGUGGUGACUGCAGCGCUGGAGUAUGGCAGAGGGGGGUGGAAUUCCACGUGUAGCAGUGAAAUGCGUAGAGAUGUGGAGGAACACCGAUGGCGAAGGCAGCCCCCUGGGCCAAUACUGACGCUCAUGCACGAAAGCGUGGGGAGCAAACAGG
rnacentral:rRNA from 1 species